CUACGGGGGGCUCCAGUGAGGAAUAUUGCACAAUGGGGGGAACCCUGAUGCAGCAACGCCGCGUGGAGGAUGACGCAUUUCGGUGUGUAAACUCCUUUUAUAUGUCAAGAAAAUGACGGUAGCAUAUGAAUAAGCACCGGCUAACUCCUGCCAGCAGCCGCGGUAAUACGGAGGGUGCAAGCGUUACUCGGAAUCACUGGGCGUAAAGGACGCGUAGGCGGGAUAUCAAGUCAGGUGUGAAAUCCUACAGCUUAACUGUAGAACUGCACUUGAAACUGGUAACCUAGAGUAUGGGAGGGGGAGAUGGAAUUAGUGGUGUAGGGGUAAAAUCCGUAGAUAUCACUAGGAAUACCUAAAGCGAAGGCGAUCUCCUGGAACAUUACUGACGCUAAGGCGUGAAAGCGUGGGGAGCAAACAGGAUUAGAUACCCCAGUAGUC
rnacentral:rRNA from 1 species